AACGAACGCUGGCGGCAGGCCUAACACAUGCAAGUCGAGCGGACCUUUCGGGGUCAGCGGCGGACGGGUGAGUAACGCGUGGGAAUAUGCCCUUCUCUACGGAAUAGUCCUGGGAAACUGGGGGUAAUACCGUAUACGCCCUUUGGGGGAAAGAUUUUUCGGGGAAGGAUUAGCCCGCGUUGGAUUAGGUGGUUGGUGGGGGAAUGGCCUACCAAGCCGACGAUCCAUAGCUGGUUUGAGAGGAUGAUCAGCCACACUGGGACUGAGACACGGACCAGACUCCUACGGGAGGCAGCAGUGGAGAAUCUUAGACAAUGGGGGCAACCCUGAUAAAGCCAUGCCGCGUGAGUGAUGAAGGCCUUAGGGUUGUAAAGCUCUUUCAGCUGGGAAGAUAAUGACGGUACCAGCAGAAGAAGCCCCGGCUAACUCCGUG
rnacentral:rRNA from 1 species